rnacentral:rRNA from 1 species
CGUAAGCUGUCGCUUAGUGGGAUCGGCCCGCGGUGCAUUAGCUAGUUGGUAAGGUAAAGGCUUACCAAGGCGAUGAUGCAUAGCCCGAGUUGAGAGACUGAUCGGGCCACAUUGGGGACUGAGACACGGGGCCCAAACUCCUACGGGGGGAGGGGCAGCAGUAGGGGGAAUCUUCCACAAUGGACGCAAGUCUGAUGGAGCAACGCCGCGUGAGUGAAGAAGGUUUUCGGAUCGUAAAGCUCUGUUGUUGGUGAAGAAGGAUAGGAGGUAGUAACUGGUCCUUUAUUGACGGUAAUCAACCAGAAGUCACGGCUAACUACGUGCCAGCAGCCGCGGUAAU